rnacentral:rRNA from 1 species
CAGUAGCCACGGUAAUACGUAGGGUGCAAGCGUUAAUCGGAAUUGCUGGGCGUAAAGCGUGCGCAGGCGGUUUGUUAAGACAGAUGUGAAAUCCCCGGGCUCAACCUGGGAACUGCAUUUGUGACUGGCAGGCUAGAGUAUGGCAGAGGGGGGUGGAAUUCCGCGUGUAGCAGUGAAAUGCAUAGAUAUGCCACAGAACACCGAUUGCGAAGGCAGCUUACCAAGGCAAAAUUGACGCUGAGGCACGAAAGCGUGGGGAUCGAACAGGAUUAGAUACCCCCGUAGUCCCUGUCUCUUAUAC